rnacentral:rRNA from 1 species
GACGAACGCUGGCGGCGUGCCUAAUACAUGCAAGUCGAACGCUCCUUUCCUCCCGAGUGCUUGCACUCAAUUGGAAAGAGGAGUGGCGGACGGGUGAGUAACACGUGGGUAACCUACCCAUCAGAGGGGGAUAACACUUGGAAACAGGUGCUAAUACCGCAUAACAGUUUAUGCCGCAUGGCAUAAGAGUGAAAGGCGCUUUCGGGUGUCGCUGAUGGAUGGACCCGCGGUGCAUUAGCUAGUUGGUGAGGUAACGGCUCACCAAGGCCACGAUGCAUAGCCGACCUGAGAGGGUGAUCGGCCACACUGGGACUGAGACACGGCCCAGACUCCUACGGGAGGCAGCAGUAGGGAAUCUUCGGCAAUGGACGAAAGUCUGACCGAGCAACGCCGCGUGAGUGAAGAAGGUUUUCGGAUCGUAAAACUCUGUUGUUAGAGAAGAACAAGGACGUUAGUAACUGAACGUCCCCUGACGGUAUCUAACCAGAAAGCCACGGCUAACUACGUG